CAUUGCUUUUGGUGUUUUAGAUAUGAAGUCCUUGCCCAUGCCUAUGUCCUGAAUGGUAAUGCCUAGGUUUUCUUCUAGGGUUUUUAUGGUUUUAGGUCUGACAGGUAAGUCUUUAAUCCAUCUUGAAUUAAUUUUUGUAUAAGGUGUAAGGAAGGGAUCCAGUUUCAGCUUUCUACAUAUGGAUGGCCAGUUUUCCCAGCACCAUUUAUUAAAUAGGGAAUCCUUUCCCCAUUGCUUGUUUUAGCAUUCUCCCAUCUAUGUCUUAUCCUCAUUGACUCAUGAUAUCUUUGGGAACCAUUUAGCAGUUGAACCUCAAGUGACUGGACGCAGAACAGGUGAGCUGCCUAAGUUAGGAAACCAUCCCUGAAUGCUCAUCAUAGGUUAAGAGGAGAAAGUACAGGAGAGGUUGUUAGACUGCAGAAGGCAGGACUUUGUUGAUGAACACCUACUUGUAAGUGCAUGAGAUGGGUGCUUUCCUAUGUGCAGAGAGAUUUGCAGUGUCUAUAUGAAUGAUAGACAUACCAGUCCCUGACCCAUAUGAAACAUAAAGAAAAUAAUAAAUUCUACCACAAAUCAACCAAUAUUAAUUCAUUUUAACACAAAUCAACCAGUACCAAAAUAGAGCCAAGGAGUUGGAGGGGAUGAAGCAAAGAAGACAAAGUGCAAUCAAAUGCAUGCCCUAAUUCCUUCUUAUUACAUCAUUUUGACUAACUCUUUCUAACACUUUUGCAUUCACAUGAACACUCAUUGAACACCUACUUUGAGUUUGGCACCAUGACAAGAAAACAAACAAGUUAUGGACUUAGAAGAUAUAGACUUAUGGUGGAGACAGAGACAUGGAAUAAUAACCCAAAGUAGCUCAUCUUCCUAGAGCUGAUGCCAUCGAAACCUGAUCAUCUAUCAAUCUUAGUUUUAGUGGUGAAGACUCAUGGUGGAUUUUGCCUAGCAGUUCAUAAUUUGUCUCAAGGGUGCCUGAGUGUCUCAGCGUCUCCAGAAAGCCCUUCGUGGUUGUUUCUGGAAUGAGUCCCAGUGCUCACCUCACACAGGCCUAUUCUUCCUCUUCCUCCAGCCAUUGCCUGUUUGACAUGAGAUGUGUCCUUCGAUAAGUCAGUAGUGGAUUACCUCAAGGCAGGGGACAACUAAGGCUCCAAUAGAAAGGAUGAAUUGCAAGAAUGGGACAGAGAUCAUAUUCUCAAAAGGACUUUUUAAUAAAAACUCACUGAAAGCAAUUAAUUUUUCUUGAUGAUUUAAUUUUCUGCCUGGACAAAGCUGCUGUUUUAACUGUGUUUACAAAGCUUCUACUGCUGGCCAUGGCUUCUGGAAUUGGUCUCUGAUGGCUGGAUCUUUCACACUGGAGCCCUGGUUUUGAUUAUCCAAGAGAUGAAAGAAUCACUCCCUAAACCUUCCGUUGUCCACUACAGAGCUUCUCUUCCACCCCACCAUGCUGCCUUUCCUGUCAGGAUGACAACAGCAAAGACAGCAAUAAUAAAAGCUAAUGCUUACAUUAGUGCUUGUUAUGAACCCAAGGCUUCCCUAAGCAUUACAUCUAUGUUAACUCAUUAACGCCUACUCACAACCUCCUUUAUAACACCUAGGAAGCUGGGAAUAGUAACUUCUGGUCAGAGCUGUGACAGAGGCCAUUGUCAGACUGUAGAGAUUUUUGGUGCCAAAAAAUUCUUCUCAACAGGGGGCGAUUUGGCCAAUGUUUCGAAACAUUUUUGAUUGUCUCAACUGGGGGGAUGCUACUAGCUUCCAGUGCAUAGAGGCAAAAGAUGCCACACAACAUCUGGUAACCCUCCACAACAGUUAUCCAGCCCAAAAUGUCAUCAGUGCAGAGGUUGAGAAACCCUAGUGCCACAUGAUUUAAGUGCUUUUGCCCAAAUUGCCUAAAUUCAAAUCCUGCUUCUGCAGCUUACUAGCUGUGGAUCCUGGGCAAGUUGCUUAAGCUCUUUGUGUGUCCAUUUUCCCAUCUUUAAAAUGGGAAUGAAAAUAGUAAUAUUACGUCAUGGGGCUGGUGCAUGAUUAAAUGUAUUAAUGUAAGUAAAAUGUUUAGCGCAGUGUCUGGCAUGUGGUAAGGGCUCCAUAUUUUAGCUUUUAUUUUUAUUAUGUAGAGCCUUUCUGGCCUUAGGGAGACAGAUUUAGGCUUCUUUUUAGUCUUGAUAGAAGUCUUGAGAGGACAUUUUCAGUCCAUGCCAUCCCAGGGAAUAGUUUUUGUCCAUCUAAAUCCUAAAGAGAAUACUCUAUCUUAGCCCACUAGGAAGUUUAGGAAAAGUUAUCCUUGAUGUGUUUUAAUGCAAUGUCUCUUUGUCAUCUUUUUUUCUGCACCCUGUUUUACAAUAAAAAG
rnacentral:lncRNA from 10 species